rnacentral:rRNA from 1 species
AGAGUUUGAUCCUGGCUCAGAUUGAACGCUGGCGGCGUGCUUAACACAUGCAAGUCGAACGGCAGCGCGGGGAGCUUGCUCCCUGGCGGCGAGUGGCGGACGGGUGAGUAAUACGUGGGAAUCUGCCUGAUAGUGGGGAACAACCCGAGGAAACUCGGGCUAAUACCGCAUACGCCUUACGAGGGAAAGCGGGGGACCUUCGGGCCUCGCGCUAUCAGAUGAGCCCGCGUCCGAUUAGCUUGUUGGUGAGGUAAUGGCUCACCAAGGCGACGAUCGGUAGCUGGUCUGAGAGGAUGAUCAGCCACACUGGGACUGAGACACGGCCCAGACUCCUACGGGAGGCAGCAGUGGGGAAUUUUCCGCAAUGGGCGAAAGCCUGACGGAGCAACGCCGCGUGAGGGAUGAAGGCCUCUGGGCUGUAAACCUCCUUUAUCAAGGAAGAAGAUCUGACGGUACUUGAUGAAUAAGCCACGGCUAAUUCCGUGCCAGCAGCCGCGGUAAUACGGGAGUGGCAAGCGUUAUCCGGAAUUAUUGGGCGUAAAGCGUCCGCAGGCGGCCUGACAAGUCUGCUGUUAAAGCGUGGAGCUUAACUCCAUUUCAGCAGUGGAAACUGUCAGGCUUGAGUGUGGUAGGGGCAGAGGGAAUUCCCGGUGUAGCGGUGAAAUGCGUAGAUAUCGGGAAGAACACCAGUGGCGAAAGCGCUCUGCUGGGCCAUCACUGACGCUCAUGGACGAAAGCCAGGGGAGCGAAAGGGAUUAGAUACCCCUGUAGUCCUGGCCGUAAACGAUGAACACUAUGUGUCGGGGGAAUCGACCCCUCCGGUGUCGUAGCCAACGCGUUAAGUGUUCCGCCUGGGGAGUACGCACGCAAGUGUGAAACUCAAAGGAAUUGACGGGGGCCCGCACAAGCGGUGGAGUAUGUGGUUUAAUUCGAUGCAACGCGAAGAACCUUACCAGGGCUUGACAUCCUGCGAACCUCUGGGAAACCGGAGGGUGCCUUCGGGAACGCAGUGACAGGUGGUGCAUGGCUGUCGUCAGCUCGUGUCGUGAGAUGUUGGGUUAAGUCCCGCAACGAGCGCAACCCACGUCUUUAGUUGCCAGCAUUUAGUUGGGCACUCUAGAGAGACCGCCGGUGACAAACCGGAGGAAGGUGUGGAUGACGUCAAGUCAUCAUGCCCCUUACGUCCUGGGCUACACACGUACUACAAUGCUACGGACAAAGAGCAGCUAACUCGCGAGAGUACGCAAAUCUCAUAAACCGUGGCUCAGUUCAGAUCGUAGGCUGCAACUCGCCUACGUGAAGGAGGAAUCGCUAGUAAUCGCAGGUCAGCAUACUGCGGUGAAUACGUUCCCGGGCCUUGUACACACCGCCCGUC